GAGGUUGUAGACCAGCACGAAGGUCUUGGCGCCGCUACCGCCGAAGUCGAUGCCGAGCGACGGCCCCGUCCAGUAGACCGGGCGAUCGCCC
rnacentral:tRNA from 1 species